rnacentral:rRNA from 1 species
CCUACGGGCGGCAGCAGUAAGGAAUCUUGCGCAAUGGGCGAAAGCCUGACGCAGCGACGCCGCGUGGGCGAUGAAGGCCUUCGGGUUGUAAAGCCCUUUUGGCAGGGAAGAGCAAGGACUGUACCUGCAGAACAAGUCACGGCUAACUACGUGCCAGCAGCCGCGGUAAUACGUAGGGACCGAGCGUUGUCCGGAAUCAUUGGGUGUAAAGGGUCCGCAGGCGGAUGUGUAAGUCGGAGGUGAAAUCUUCCCGCUCAACGGGAAAACUGCUUUCGAUACUGCACGUCUUGAGUACGGGAGAGGGUGGUGGAAUUCCUGGUGUAGCGGUGAAAUGCGUAGAUAUCAGGAAGAACACCGGUAGCGAAGGCGGCCCCCGGGCCCGUUACUGACGCUCAGGGACGAAAGCGUGGGGAGCAAACAGGAUUAGAUACCCUGGUAGU